UACGAAGGGUGCAAGCGUUAUUCGGAAUUACUGGGCGUAAAGCGUGCGUAGGUGGUUCGUUAAGUCUGAUGUGAAAGCCCUGGGCUCAACCUGGGAAUGGCAUUGGAAACUGGCGACCUAGAGUGCGGUAGAGGGUAGUGGAAUUCCCGGUGUAGCAGUGAAAUGCGUAGAGAUCGGGAGGAACAUCCGUGGCGAAGGCGACUACCUGGACCAGCACUGACACUGAGGCACGAAAGCGUGGGGAGCAAACAGG
rnacentral:rRNA from 1 species